rnacentral:lncRNA from 10 species
UGGUCUCUGCCAUCCCAGGAAGGGGCUCCCACAGUGCAGCAUGGGCUGAAGGGCUCCUCAAGUGCAGCCAGAGUGGGCGCUGAGGCUGAGGAGGCACCAAGAAUGAGCAAGGGCUGCGAGGGCUGCCAGCAUGCUGUCACCUCUCAGAAUGAGCAUCUAUUCCUGAAUUAAUUCCCACUGAGAGAAAGUCAGAGGCCAGGUGAGAGACUUCUACCCACCAGGCAAUU